rnacentral:hammerhead_ribozyme from 1 species
AUCCAGCUGACGAGUCCUAAAUAGGAUGAAACGCGCUUCCUGGAA